rnacentral:piRNA from 2 species
UGCCGAAUGACUUUAUUCACAGACUCUGUGA